GAUAUGACGAAGAACUCCGAUUGCGAAGGCAGCUUGCGGGAGCACAACUGACGCUGAAGCUCGAAAGUGCGGGUAUCGAACAGGAUUAGAUACCCUGGUAGUCCGCACGGUAAACGAUGGAUGCCCGUUGUCAGGCUGUUUCAGUCUGGUGACCAAGCGAAAGCAUUAAGCAUCCCACCUGGGGAGUACGCCGGCAACGGUGAAACUCAAAGGAAUUGACGGGGGCCCGCACAAGCGGAGGAACAUGUGGUUUAAUUCGAUGAUACGCGAGGAACCUUACCCGGGCUUGAAUUGCAGACGAAGGCUUCAGAGAUGAAGCUGCCUUUCGGGGCGUCUGUGAAGGUGCUGCAUGGUUGUCGUCAGCUCGUGCCGUGAGGUGUCGGCUUAAGUGCCAUAACGAGCGCAACCCCUUUCUUCAGUUGCCAUCAGGUGAUGCUGGGCACUCUGUAGAUACUGCCACCGCAAGGUGUGAGGAAGGUGGGGAUGACGUCAAAUCAGCACGGCCCUUACGUCCGGGGCUACACACGUGUUACAAUGGCCGGUACAGAGAGUUGGUUGUGUGCAAACACGAUCUAAUCCUUAAAUCCGGUCCCAGUUCGGACUGGGGUCUGCAACCCGACCCCACGAAGCUGGAUUCGCUAGUAAUCGCGCAUCAGCCAUGGCGCGGUGAAUACGUUCCCGGGCCUUGUACACACCGCCCGUCAAGCCAUGAAAGCCGGGGGUGCCUGAAGUCUGUGACCGCAAGGAACGGCCUAGGGCAAAACCGGUA
rnacentral:rRNA from 1 species